rnacentral:rRNA from 1 species
CCUACGGGGGGCAGCAGUGGGGAAUAUUGCACAAUGGGGGGAACCCUGAUGCAGCGACGCCGCGUGAGUGAAGAAGUAUUUCGGUAUGUAAAGCUCUAUCAGCAGGGAAGAAAAUGACGGUACCUGACUAAGAAGCCCCGGCUAACUACGUGCCAGCAGCCGUGGUAAUACGUUAGGGGCAAGCGUUAACCGGAUUUAAUGGGGGUAAAGGGAGCGUAGACGGUUAUGCAAGUCUGAAGUGAAAGCCAAAGGGUCAAACAUGGGACAGCUUUGGAUACUGUAAAACUGGAGUGAAGGAGAGGUAAGCGGAAUUCCUAGUGUAGCGGUGAAAUGCGUAGAUAUUAGGAGGAACACCAGUGGCGAAGGCGGCUUACUGGACUGUAACUGACGUUGAGGCUCGAAGGCGUGGGGAGCAAACAGGAUUAGAUACCCGGGUAGUC